GCUUGUAAUUAUUAUCUUGCUCCCUAAUUUCCACACAUUCCAUCAUGUUCUUCACAUUCAUUAACUAUUGUAUGCUGGCCAGAUAAUGAAAUAACUAUUGUAUGCUGGCCAGAUCAAUGAAACAGGGGGCGGGGAGUGCAUUCGUGUGGGACCCAAGCACAUGGGCCGCGGGAUCCUACAUGCCAGCAGCCGCCCGACACGAACCCCUGCCCGAUUUACGCCUGUCUCUGCUUGCUAUUCAAGUCUGAGACCCUGCUGGACAUUCCACAUUCCCCACCAAAGCGUAUCUAUUCUUGAGGUUUAUGCAAUCCAGAUGGGACAAUGGACUGUGGAUGGUGGAUGGUGGAUGGUGGAUGGUGGAGUAUUGCCUGACUAAUAAAAUAAAUUAAGCUAAGUAAACGUAUGGUCCUAGGGAUCUGGAAUUAGCUCUUGAAUCCGAAACUGCAAGAUUGAUUGGGCGAUUCGUUCGUUCUUUCCCAAAGAACUUCCAAAUUGGAUCAAAUGCAGCUAUUAAGGUGGAAGGAUGAUUUGUUUAACUAUCUAAUCUAAAUAUCAUUAUAAUAAUCCAUAUUAUCAGGCUUUGAUCACCGUUCUCAGUUGGACACGGGUGGGCUAGAAGUUUGGCUAUUAAAAAAGUUUAUUUCAAUUGGCAUUUGUUCUUUAAGGGUUUUUUUAAUCCUUUAAAGCAGUAACUAUGUGAGGAAGAACUAUACUUCCUCUGUGGAAUGAGAGGGAUACUUUUAAGUAUAUUAAAAUUGGCAACUUCUUAACCAAGAAGAUCUGGCAGCACUGCAAAUUUUGGUUGAUGGGUGUUCAAAGUGGGUUUAUCAUCUCUUUGGGCUCAGUUAAGGGCUUCAUGUUACCAUCAAGAAAAACAGAAAUACAGCUUGGCAUCAGCAUUGUAUGCCCUGGAGAAGGUAGACUUACUAUGAAAUUACUUUUGCUCGUGGUGAUAUAUGCAACAAUGCUUUAACCAAUUUUAUCCAAAACAUCAUAGUCUAGUGAGUAUUUUUAGAUUAGUAUUGUAAGGAUGCGAUUUCCACUUCCCUUCUUGUCAAACAAAGAAAUCAAUUUGAACCACUAGUUAUCCAGGAGUAUGGCAUAUAUUUACUUAUGUUAUUGAUUAUAGCUAACGGUGUUAUAUAUCUCAUACAUGGGAAGCGAAACAUUGUAGGUUGAUUAAACUUUCAAUAUAAAUGUUCCUCAAGCCAUGCUAUCAUUUACCAUUCAGUUCACUCACAUUUUGGGGUCCUUGAUGGUGCGCAAUGAUCUGUAACCCAUAGCCGUCAUUGUUAAUGCAUUUUGAAUUGUGGGCUGCAUAGCUAUCUCCUGCUGCCUUUCUGUAGAGCACGAACAUUGGUAUGCUGCGCCAAAUGGGAAAAUCAUCCAUUUGGGCUUGCAAGUAUUUUUAUUUGCUUUAUGUUAUAGACAUGGAGUGCAGACUCCAAGGUACUUGGAGCAAUGCUAUGUUCAUACAGAGAGUUGCUGCUGCCAUCUGACAUGGAUGCUUCACUUCUAUUCAGUGUCCCUUGAAGUAUCACCUACCAUAGCUGCUUCAAGAUGUACAUGCAUCAGGUGGCUGAUGUGGUUCAUUAAUUCCAAGAUGGGCUGUCUUGUUGGAUCGAGGAUCACCAAUUGGAAGGGUAAUGUUGUUCAUUGAUUGCAAGAUGGGUUUUAUUUGUCAGAUUGAGGAUCAUCAAUUGAAUGGUUGAUGUGGUGUUAGUGAUUUCCAAUGUAUAUCAGAUCUUUUAUUGAUUGAAGUUCUAGAAGUUUCCAAGCAGUUGAGAGUUGUUGAAAGCAAGCUGAUAUAAAGAUAACCGUGUAACCAUUUGAGGACAUCUUCUAGCAAUUGAACAGACACCUUCAUAUGUGUUUGUAAGUGGGAUCUUUUGUUGGGUGCAUACUGAUGUACUUGGGUCUGAGGAACUGAGCAUUAAAGCAGGGUAUUUGCCAUAUCAGCCAUCUAAGAUAGAGGUGAGAAGUGUCUGAUUUGAGACCAUUGUCAUUUGUUGUCAUUUCUUGUUUGGCUGUAACAAGAUUGAGACUAAAUUUUGUGUUAAGGCUGAAUAUCAUUUGCUUUGUAUUUGAAACCAGAAGAUUUUAUAAAACUCUGCAUUCACUUCUAAUUAUCCGAUUUUUCUUAAUUUUUUUUUU